rnacentral:rRNA from 1 species
UACGUAGGGGGCAAGCGUUGUCCGGAUUCAUUGGGCGUAAAGAGCGUGUAGGCGGCCAGGUAGGUCGGUUGUGAAAACUGGAGGCUCAACCUUCAGAGGUCGACCGAAACCAUCUGGCUAGAGUCCGGGAGAGGAGAGUGGAAUUCCUGGUGUAGCGGUGAAAUGCGCAGAUAUCAGGAGGAACACCAGUGGCGAAGGCGACUAUCUGGGCUGCAACUGACGCUGAGGCGCGAAGGCUAGGGUAGCAAACAGG